CCAAUCAGAGCCAGGAGGCGGGUCUUAGCGCUGUCAAUCACCUUUCCUCUUCCCCUCCAUGCUCUCUGCUACGCUCCAGCUAGUAAAGCCUAUUGUGAAUGCUAAGACUAGUUAGCAUUAUAGUGAAUUAAUGGUUUUCCUGUAACUGUAAUUUGUUUCUGCCCUAUUAGCAUCUUUAGCAGCAAGUACAUGAGAUUGAUUCUCCUGAGUCUGAUUGGUUGUUUUUGGUGCGUUUCUUCAGACACCAUUAGUGGAGGAGAUCGAGCUUUUCAUAGAU